GAUGAACGCUAGCGGCAGGCCUAACACAUGCCAGUCGAGGGAUAAGCCUUCGGGCUAAGACCGGCGCACGGGUGCGUAACGCGUAUACAAUCUGCCUUUUAUCCGGGGGAUAGCCCGAAGAAAUUUGGAUUAAUACCCUAUGGUAUAAGAGCACGGCAUCGUGCACUUAUUAAAGCUACGGCGGUAAAAGAUGAGUAUGCGUUCUAUUAGCUAGUUGGAGAGGUAACGGCUCCCCAAGGCGACGAUAGAUAGGGGUUCUGAGAGGGAUGUCCCCCACACUGGUACUGAGAUACGGACCAGACUCCUACGGGAGGCAGCAGUGAGGAAUAUUGGACAAUGGUCGGAAGACUGAUCCAGCCAUGCCGCGUGCAGGAUGACGGCCUUAUGGGUUGUAAACUGCUUUUGUAAGGGAAGAAUAAGGAGUACGUGUACUUUGAUGACGGUACCUUACGAAUAAGCAGCGGCUAACUCCGU
rnacentral:rRNA from 1 species